CAAGCGGUGGAUCAUGUUGUUUAAUUCGAUGAUACGCGAAGAACCUUACCAGGUCUUGACAUCCCCCGCGAUGCUUUAGAGAUAAAGCGGAGGUAUCGGGAGACAGUGGUGCAUGGUUGUCGUCAGCUCGUGUCGUGAGAUGUUGGGUUAAGUCCCGCAACGAGCGCAACCCCUAUUGCUAGUUACCAUCAUUAAGUUGGGGACUCUAGCGAGACUGCCAGUGAUAAACUGGAGGAAGGUGGGGAUGACGUCAAAUCAUCAUGCCCCUUAUGACCUGGGCUACAAACGUGAUACAAUGGCUGGAACAAAGGGAUGCGAAGCAGUGAUGUGGAGCGAAACCCAUAAAAACAGUCUCAGUUCGGAUUGAAGUCUGCAACUCGACUUCAUGAAGUCGGAAUCGCUAGUAAUCGCGGAUCAGAACGCCGCGGUGAAUACGUUCUCGGGGUUU
rnacentral:rRNA from 1 species